UAUAGUGUUGUGCAGUGGCGAUGAGCUUUCUCAGGUUGCCUACAUUACUUUUAAAGACAAUCAAGGAGCUGAGACUGCAAUGCUUCUCACGGGGGCCACAAUAGUUGAUAUGGUUGUAAUCGUCACGCCAGCCAAUGAUUAUGAGCUAGACUUCAGAGAAGACUGAUGCAGAAAAUGCACCUGCUCAGGCUGAUGGCGCCAAGGAAAAGAAUGGUGCUGUAGAAACAGUGAAGAAUGAUAAUGAGAAAAAGGCCAAAAAGAAGCGGAAAAAGUCUAACCAGAAAGAAAAUGUUCAGGUGGAAGGUAAAGAAGCUGCAGAGAAAGAUUCAGUCCCAAAACCAGAUGAUGGGAACAAGAGUGGGAUGGAUGUUGAUGAAGAACACCAAGGGAAGUUGUCAAAUGAAAAUGCAGUUUUCUUUCUCUCUAUCCAUUGGUCCAUUUGCUUUUUUUGUUUGCACUUCAUUUCCUAUAGUUUAGUCACCUUAGGAGGUGUUAUCCAUAAUUCUUAGAUCUUGUUUAUACAUGAUGCUUCAUUUACUACUAGCUUCCUUAGCAGCUUGCUUAUGCAUUAUGGUUCAGAAAUGCCUCCAUAAUAACUGAUUACCAGUUUGUGAAUUAACCUGAGGAUGUUUAGAAAUUCA